rnacentral:rRNA from 1 species
AUGUCGCCGGAGGCUACUCGGCGUUCAUCGCCGGACCGGGUAUGUCCCAACAAUUGGUAUCAUGAGCUGGUUCAUCUUGGGUGUCGUCCCUUUGCCGGAGGCGUGCCGGCGGUGGCGGCGUUCGCCGGCGGCUCAGUGGUGAAACUCCGGGCCGUGUGUCGGUCUAUGGAGGUGCGCAGUGCGGUGAGGAGGCCGCGGAGGACAUGCGUGGUGGCGGCUUCAUCGACACGCAGCGGCAUGGCGGCAUGGAGAUGCUGUGUUGCGGUUGAGGCCAUAGCGGUGCAGGGCAAUAAGCCAUGGCGGCGAGUCUGGCGCGACCGGUGCGUGUUAUGGGUGCGCACUGGACGCGUCGGGACCGUGGCGCGCGGUGAGCAUCUGGUAUGGUCGGGCUCGUCGGGCGCGUCGGGUGCGCGCGGGAUGUGCAGGACGCAUGGGUGCGGUCGGACUCGUCGGACGCGCCGGGUGCGCGCGGGACGUGCAGGACGCACGGGUGCGGUCGGACUCGUCGGGCGCGUUGGGUGCGUGCGGGACGUGCGGGACGCACAGUUACGGUCAGACGCGUCGGGUGCACGCGGGACGUACGCGGCACAGAGGGACGUCAGGCGUGUGUCGCCGGCGGAGAAGGAGCUCGGCGUAUGUUGCCGGGGUCGUGACGGAGCACGGUGCGACCGGCGUCAGUGCGUCAGGUCGGGUCCAUAG